CCCUUAGACGUUCUGGGCCGCACGCGCGCUACACUGACCAGUGCAACAAGCAUCCGUCCUUGACCGACAGGCCCGGGCAAUCUUUGAACGCUGGUCGUGAUGGGGAUAGACUUUUGCAAUUUUUGGUCUUCAACGAGGAAUUCCUAGUAAACGCAAGUCAUCAACUUGCAUUGAUUACGUCCCUGCCCUUUGUACACACCGCCCGUCGCACCUACCGAUUGAAUGGUCCGGUGAAGCCUCCGGAUUGGCGCGCACCUCGGUGCCGCCGAGAAGUUGGCUAAACCUUACCAUUUAGAGGAAGGUGAAGUCGUAACA
rnacentral:rRNA from 1 species